GGUCAGUGCCGGCAGCAACCCUUACCUCCAUCUUGAGAUGGUCAGAGUAACAGCUGACUAGGAAUGGCUGAGUAUGCAAUUCUAUGGAGACGGGGAAUUAGGGCUGACUCACUCUGCAGCGCAGAGCUUCAAUGCAAAAUCAUUACAAGGCCAUCCGUUCCAUUUCACAAGAGCUUAUCUGCAGACCCAAACCAUUUCCCCCUUAAUUAGAUGCUGCAAACGCUGGCAUUUCACGUCCCGACACCCACCACCACUGCAAGGAGACCCAUACAGGUACUGCCUUGGCAAGGUGGGGGGCGAUGCUCUCCAAUCCAAUCUGUGAAGCUCGUAAAGGGUCUGAGGGGGGCUGAAUGAGUCACGAAGAAGUUCUCAAUGGCCCGAAUCACUAGAGACUGUCUGCUGAUGUAAUUGCAGGGAUGCCUCAACCUACUUCAUCCUUACUAGGAUGCACCAACACGGCUCUCAGGGAAAAAAUAUCCAGGCUUAUUCUGGGCUCCUGUGUUUCACUACUUUGUAUUUCUGCACAUGGUCCCUUAUGUGGUUUUGCCUCCUCUGCACUCAAAUAAUACAUCAGAAUCUCAAAA